UAAUCCGAGAUUCUGUACACCCAUCUUCUGUCGAGGGGCCUCAGGAGGGUAUCAUCAAAGACUAAUUCAAUAUUAGAGGUGCAAAAGGAGCUGACCUCAAUUUACACUAUACUACAAUGGUGGAAGUUGUUGUAAGAAACCCUGCCUGGAUGUCAAAAGACCAGCCCCCCUGGAAAUCCAGAACUAUAUAUUCCACAAAGAACUUGGAACGGGCACCUUUGGCCAGGUGAUGUUAGCAUCGUUUGCCCCAAAGAAAAAGCUUGUGGCAAUUAAGAAGAUUGCCAAGAAAAUUGACAAGAGCAACUACAGGAAG